CCUACGGGAGGCAGCAGUGAGGAAUAUUGGUCAAUGGACGAGAGUCUGAACCAGCCAAGUAGCGUGAAGGAUGACUGCCCUAUGGGUUGUACACUUCUUUUAUAUGGGAAUAAAACGUUCCACGUGUGGGAUUUUGUCUGUACCAUAUGAAUAAGGAUCGGCUAACUCCGUGCCAGCAGCCGCGGUAAUACGGAGGAUCUGAGCGUUAUCCGGAUUUAUUGGGUUUAAAGGGAGCGUCGGUGGAUUGUUAAGUCAGUGGUAAAAUUGCGGGGCUCAACCCCGUACUGCCGUUGAACCUGCAUCCCUUGAGUGCGCGAGAAGUAUGCGGAAUGCGUGGUGUAGCGGUGAAAUGCAUAGAUAUCACGAAGAACUCCGAUUGCGAAGGCAGCAUACCGGCGCGCAACUGACGCUCAUGCACGAAAGCGUGGGUAUCGAACAGGAUUAGAUACCCUUGUAGUC
rnacentral:rRNA from 1 species